GACGAACGCUGGCGGCGUGCCUAAUACAUGCAAGUAGAACGCUGAGGGAGGAGCUUGCUCUUCUGGAUGAGUUGCGAACGGGUGAGUAACGCGUAGGUAACCUGCCUGGUAGCGGGGGAUAACUAUUGGAAACGAUAGCUAAUACCGCAUAACAGUAGAUGUUGCAUGACAUUUACUUAAAAGGUGCAAUUGCAUCACUACCAGAUGGACCUGCGUUGUAUUAGCUAGUUGGUGGGGUAACGGCUCACCAAGGCGACGAUACAUAGCCGACCUGAGAGGGGGAUCGGCCACACUGGGACUGAGACACGGCCCAGACUCCUACGGGAGGCAGCAGUAGGGAAUCUUCGGCAAUGGACGGAAGUCUGACCGAGCAACGCCGCGUGAGUGAAGAAGGUUUUCGGAUCGUAAAGCUCUGUUGUAAGAGAAGAACGAGUGUGAGAGUGGAAAGUUCACACUGUGACGGUAUCUUACCAGAAAGAGACGGCUAACUACGUG
rnacentral:rRNA from 1 species